rnacentral:tRNA from 1 species
UACUAACAUGGCUCAGUUGGUAGAGCGCGAGAGUUUUAAUCUCAGGGUUGUGGGUUUGAGCCCCAUGUUGGGCAAAA